CUUGUCUGUAUUUCAGCUUUGUGUGAGAAGGACACUGCCACUACAAUUGGUGAAGGAGGAAGAGCAUUCAUAUGAAUCAUUCUAUUCUUUUAACCAACAAGCACUGCAUUGCAUGCGUGCAUACAAGAGAACUGCUGGGCUUGGAUCUAUAUUGCUUCUUCCUGAUGGACAUCUAACUAGCCUUCAGGGACAUCUGGCUGACCUCCUGGGAAAUCAGGCUGACACCUUGAGACAGAAGUCUGCUGGCUCCUGCCUCAAUGAGAAGGAAAUGAACAGUUUUCAGCCAGGAACAGCUUCUUGUUCUUAUCAACUAUUUUGA
rnacentral:lncRNA from 1 species